GACGAACGCUGGCGGCGCGCUUAACACAUGCAAGUCGAGCGAGAACCCAGGCUUCGGCCUGGGGGAAAGCGGCGAACGGGUGAGUAUCACGUGGGUAAUCUGCCCUCGACAUCGGGAUAGCCCGGGGAAACCCGGAUUAAUACCGAAAGGCCCAUCCGCACUUCGGAGCGGCUGGGAAAGGUAGCUUCGGCCUUAAGUCGAGGAGGAGCCGGCGGCGGAUUAGCUUGGUGGUGAGGUAAUGGCCCACCAAGGCGACGAUCCGUAGCUGGUCUGAGAGGACGAUCAGCCACACUGGGACUGAGACACGGCCCAGACUCCUACGGGAGGCAGCAGUGGGGAAUCUUGCGCAAUGGGCGAAAGCCUGACGCAGCGACGCCGCGUGCGGGAAGAAGGCCUUCGGGUUGUAAACCGCUUUCAGGAGGGACGAAGCCACUCGGGUUAAUAGCCCAGAGGGUGACGGUACCUCCAGAAGAAGCCCCGGCUAACUACGUGCCAGCCGCCGCCGUAACAC
rnacentral:rRNA from 1 species